rnacentral:rRNA from 1 species
AUCAGUGGCGAACGGGUGAGUAACACGUGAGCAAUCUGCCCUUGACUCUGGGAUAAGCGUUGGAAACGACGUCUAAUACCGGAUACGACCUUGGAAGGCAUCUUCUGGGGUGGAAAGAAUUUUGGUCAAGGAUGAGCUCGCGGCCUAUCAGCUAGUUGGUGAGGUAAUGGCUCACCAAGGCGACGACGGGUAGCCGGCCUGAGAGGGUGACCGGCCACACUGGGACUGAGACACGGCCCAGACUCCUACGGGAGGCAGCAGUGGGGAAUAUUGCACAAUGGGCGAAAGCCUGAUGCAGCAACGCCGCGUGAGGGACGACGGCCUUCGGGUUGUAAACCUCUUUUAGUAGGGAAGAAGCGUAAAAGUGACGGUACCUGCAGAAAAAGCACCGGCUAACUACGUGCCAGCAGCCGCGGUAAUACGUAGGGUGCAAGCGUUGUCCGGAAUUAUUGGACGUAAAGAGCUCGUAGGCGG